AUACAAUUAAACUCGAAACAUACACUAAUGUUAUGUUUGAAUUGGUGGAAUAGGAGUGAGAAUUGAAUGAAUAAUUCUAAUGGAAUGUGAAAAAAGAUGUUUGGUUGGUCUAUUCAUGCUAGAAUGAUAUAUUCCUACUGGAAUAGUAAUCUACUUAAAAUUGUAUUUUUCAUUUCUGUCAAGGGGUCCUGAAUAAAUCAUUCCAUUCCCUAACUUUAGUCAAUCGACAGUAAUACCCCUCUAAAAUGUUCUGCUUUUACCGAUUCGGCGAGAAGAGAGAAGAUCCUUGGCUGAGAUAAGUACAUGACCACCAAUCUCAGAUUGAUUUUAUCUCAAAUAACUUCCAAGUCUCUCUAUAAUUCUGGUAUGAUUUUUGAUUAUUGAUAUAUAUAUAUAUCCAUCUAUAAAUGGAGAUAAAUUGUUUGAUCGUAUUUUUCGCUUUGAUUUUGUGGUGAUUUUGACUGUUAUUUUAUGGCGAGUAAUUUUCGAUGAGUUUCAUGUAAAUGAAUUGGAUAUUGAUAGAAAUUUUGGACUCAAUUUAUGAAUUCGACAGAACAAAUGAAACAAUUUUGUAGCAUACUAAAUUUUACGGAUUUGGAAUGGCAUGAGAUCUGUAUAUAUAUACUCACAAUUAUAUCAGGUAAACUCAUUUUACUACUCUAAAUUGCCAUUGUUCCUCAAAAUUACAUCCAUGUUAAACCACUGUGCGCAUUAUGUUUGUGUAAAUGCUUGUAAGAAGUCAGAUUCUUUAAUACUUUGGGACUCUGAUAUAUUCGUUUCUAAUCAACAGAAAAUCAUAAUAAACAUUUGGUAAAUAUUCAAAGUAUUAACUCUAAUAUUCUUCACAAUUGUUUUGAAAUUCAGUGGAAACUUUGAAAAUUGGUAAAAAUAAGAUGAAUUUUAGAUGAGUUAUAAAAUUUGAUUGGGUUGUAAUACACUUGUAUAGUCCAAAUACUGAGUAUAACAUUAUUCAAUAUUUUGACGGAAUUGGUCUCGUAGUCGCUUGUCUAAAUUAGAACAGAUAACGGAAUUGCUUUAUGGGUAUGGAUGCUUUGAAACUGUUGAGCAGGGUUAAAGAUUUUUAUGGGUCUUUGUUGUCUUUCAUUUGGUUUGUCAAAGAAUUGAUUCAAUUAACAUGUCUGCGAACAGAGAUCUAAACUAGUUCAGAUUAAAAGCUUUCAAUACCUUGUGUUGUCUGCAAAAGGGGCAGACAAGAGUAAGCAAAUGGGUUGAACAUGAGGAUGACAAGCUUGUGGUUUAACAUGUUAAUUUACUUUCUAGCUCUUGUAUUUCUUGAUUUAUUAAAGAUGUUUUACAAUGAAUCAUGUAUAUUUUUAUAUAUGUUUAUUUGAUAUUUAAUUCAUAUUUAUAAGUACAUUAGAGACUGAUUAAAUGAUUUAGUUUAGUAAACAUUACCAUAUAUAUUUGAAUAUUUGGA
rnacentral:lncRNA from 1 species